UUACGGCGAUAUCACUUUGAAACACCGGGCCCGUACGAUAAUCGAAGUUAAGCAAUGUCGAGCCUGGUCAGUAUCUGGAAAGGCGACCGUACGGGAAUACCAGGUGGUGUAU